rnacentral:rRNA from 1 species
GAGUUUGAUCCUGGCUCAGGAUGAACGCUGGCGGCGUGCCUAAUACAUGCAAGUCGAACGCACUGAUUUUAUCAGUGAGUGGCGAACGGGUGAGUAAUACAUAAGUAACCUGCCCUCAUGAGGGGGAUAACUAUUAGAAAUGAUAGCUAAGACCGCAUAGGUGAAGGGGUCGCAUGACCGCUUCAUUAAAUAUCCGUAAGGAUAGCAGGAGGAUGGACUUAUGGCGCAUUAGCUGGUUGGUGAGGUAACGGCUCACCAAGGCGACGAUGCGUAGCCGACCUGAGAGGGUGGACGGCCACACUGGGACUGAGACACGGCCCAGACUCCUACGGGAGGCAGCAGUAGGGAAUUUUCGGCAAUGGGGGAAACCCUGACCGAGCAACGCCGCGUGAGGGAAGAAGUAUUUCGGUAUGUAAACCUCUGUUAUAAAGGAAGAACGGUAUGAAUAGGAAAUGAUUCAUAAGUGACGGUACUUUAUGAGAAAGCCACGGCUAACUACGUGCCAGCAGCCGCGGUAAUACGUA